UCACGUCACCAACUCACCAUGCAUGACACCAUAGGCGCUUGUGCAGGGAGCUGAGCCAGGGAGGAAGCCAGCACAAAUUGAAGCAGUGGUUGAGAAGGUCAUCGUCGUCACCGCAUGGGGGAAGGAUAAGGUCGUAGUGGUGGCGGAGGGGAUCGCCGUGGUGCAGGAAGGAGAAAGAUAGAGCAGCCUGAGCCUACUUUGUACCGGCCGGGUGUGCAGCGGGGGAAGACAGGCUGAGAGGGUUUGAAAAUUUUCAUCCUGUAUGGUUAAGUUUCUUUCACAGCAUUACUGGCAUCACGUCAUGGAAUGCACCAGAUUUAGAUUGUAAUAAUAAAGAUAGACGUGCAUUAUUAUAUAAAAGCUUGUUCGCACAAAAAAUACUAACUUUUGGUAGGCUAAAGUAUGCUAUUUCAGUAGAAAAUAAUUAAAUCGCAUGAAUGGUGCAAAAUAUGGUUUUUCAAAAGUGGUCUGGUUAUUUAUUGUUGUAUGGAUGCACCACAUAAAAUUAGAGUUUAGGAGCAUCGACUCUACAGACAAAGGGGAACACUUACUGAUUAACUGCAGCGAACAUAUGUUAACUCGAUCAGGAAUUUACAUAUAUACGAUCAAAAACAUUGAUUUGCUAAAAGAACUGAUUUCUUAGAGUUUUACAGCCUGCUGGCAUCGUAACUGCUGCCCAUCACCAUCAUAUCACUCAAUACCC
rnacentral:lncRNA from 1 species